AGUAACGCGUGAGUAACCUGCCUUGCACAAGGGGAUAGCCGUUGGAAACGACGAAUAAUACCCUAUGAUAUGAUAGCCUCGCAUGAAGCUAUCAUCAAAGAUUUAUCGGUGUAAGAUGGACUCGCGUCUGAUUAGCUAGUUGGUGGGGUAACAGCUCACCAAGGCAACGAUCAGUAGCCGGCUUGAGAGAGUGUACGGCCACAUUGGGACUGAGACACGGCCCAGACUCC
rnacentral:rRNA from 1 species